CUAGAGGACAAUGCAUGUGCUAUAAAG
rnacentral:misc_RNA from 1 species